ACGGACGUGAUAGCGAUAUUACGUUAGUGGCGAACGGGUGAGUAACACAUGGGUGACCUGCCCCGAAGUGGGGGAUAGCAGUUCGAAAGGACUGAUAAUACCGCGUAAGCUUGUUGUAGUUAGAGAGCGACAAGUAAAGGUUUUCGAAUCGCUUCGGGAGGGGCCUGUGUCCCAUCAGCUAGUUGGUAAGGUAACGGCUUACCAAGGCGGAGACGGGUAGGGGGCCUGAGAGGGUGGCCCCCCACAAUGGAACUGAAACACGGUCCAUACACCUACGGGUGGCAGCAGUAGGGAAUAUUGCACAAUGGACGAAAGUCUGAUGCAGCAACGCCGCGUGUGCGAAGAAGGCCUUCGGGUUGUAAAGCACUUUUGGCGGGGAAGAGGAAGGACAGUACCCGCAGAAUAAGCUUCGGCUAACUACGUGCCAGCAGCCGCGGUAACACGUAGGAAGCGAGCGUUAUCCGGAUUUACUGGGCGUAAAGCGCGUGCAGGCGGUUGGGUAAGUUGGAUGUGAAAGCUCCUGGCUUAACUGGGAGAGGUCGUUCAAGACUGCUCGACUGGAGUGCGAAAGAGGGAGGUAGAAUUCCGAGUGUAGUGGUGAAAUGCGUAGAUAUUCGGAGGAAUACCAGAGGCGAAGGCGGCCUCCUGGUUCGCAACUGACGCUGAGACGCGAAGGCUAGGGUAGCAAACGGGAUUAGAGACCCCGGUAGUCCUAGCAGUAAACGAUGUAGACUAGACGUUGGCGAUGUAAAAGUUGUCAGUGUCGGAGCAAACGCGAUAAGUCUACCGCCUGGGGGAUUACGGCCGCAGGCUAAACUCAAGGGAAUUGACGGGACCCGCAC
rnacentral:rRNA from 1 species